rnacentral:lncRNA from 1 species
UUUUUACAGAGAAGAUCUGUUAAGAUAGAUUUCAAGAUAUAAUCCAAGUUGGUCAUUGAAAAGACGAAAAUUCAUUCAGCUCAUGCAAGCUAUUCAAACUUCUUUGUGUAAACGUGACUAGAGAAUAUAAAUUCAAANACGNAUGAAGUUGCUCGAGAAACAGCCAUGAAAGCCAUAUUUUUUCACAUCUUUGCCCUGGUGUGUUUGUGUGGGUCGGCAACUUGUGGCAUUUUCGACGAUCCGAAGACUGUAACGAAAGCGAGAUGUUAUGCGAACUGCAUCACUUUGGUAUCACAAAUACCACAAAAUGAUUCAACCUGUCAAAGUACAGAAUGCCUACAGGUAA